rnacentral:rRNA from 1 species
CAGUCGCCGCGGUAAUACGUAGGGUUUAAGCGUUAAUCGGAAUUACUGGGCGUAAAGCGUGCGCAGGCGGUUAUAUAAGACAGAUGUGAAAUCCCCGGGCUCAACCUGGGAACUGCAUUUGUGACUGUAUAGCUAGAGUACGGCAGAGGGGGAUGGAAUUCCGCGUGUAGCAGUGAAAUGCGUAGAUAUGCGGAGGAACACCGAUGGCGAAGGCAAUCCCCUGGGCCUGUACUGACGCUCAUGCACGAAAGCGUGGGGAGCAAACAGGAUUAGAUACCCCUGUAGUCCCUGUCUCUUAUAC